CAAAAAGGAGAUCAGCGACAACCGAAGGGGUGGUGACAAAGUAGUGCCAAUCUUCACCAUGCGGUCUGGAUGGUCUUUGGAGAUAGAGACAUUCUCUAACUCUUCAGCGGGUUGUGCUUGCUGGGUGAGGAGUCAUCUCGAGGGUCGUCGGUUGACUGUUGCUAUCAGGAAGAUCCAAGUUCGCUUCAUCUAGGCUGGUCUUUACGACUUGGUUAUGUAUAGAGAGAGUCUCCUUGGGGACAGACAGGUGUUGUUGUUUGACUGAAGUGUUGUAACAUGAUCGUGCACUAAGCUGAUCUCCUCUGAUGUAGCCGUUGCCAUGGGGGUUGGAAAUUUCAUCAACAGCAUAUGCGUGGAUACCAUAGCCUUGAGAUCAUUGAUGCCUGUGCGCCCAAAGAUGACAUUGUAUGCCGUCGGGCAAUUGACCACUAAGAAGUU
rnacentral:lncRNA from 1 species